rnacentral:tRNA from 1 species
GGAAUGAGGCCGCAGUGAGGCGUCUCAUUUACACUGAGAAGACUGUCCGUGGUUAUUAAUCGGAUUAUUCUG